rnacentral:lncRNA from 1 species
ACUGGAAGAAGAUGGCGGCUAGACAACAAAUUUCCACCGCAAAUGUCAACGACCCAGCCGCCGACUGAGCCCAGAACAGCGUUCUUCUCCCGCCUCUCCAUUUUCACACGCAGCCAGAUGGUUAAGCUUCUCUCCUCCCAAACGUUUUUUCCCCUGCCUCUGUCGGGUAAGGGCUUCCUCAUCCCUCAAUGCCUGGUCCAACUAUGAUCUCCCUCACCCCGACUCUUAACAGACCCACUUACCACAAGCCAUCAUCAUAGCUAUAUAUAAAGAUCUGGGGGAUGAGUUUUCUAGGAAGAGAACAACUUUUGCAAAGCCCUGGGGUGGAAAAGAACUUUGCACAUUUGAGGAACUGCAAGAAGGCCAGACUGGUCUACAAGGAUGCUGAGGAGAGUCCGAGAAGGUAUAGGAAAGAGCUCCAUGAACCUGCCUCCAGACAAGGCCCGGCUCCUGCGGCAGUAUGACAAUGAGAAGAAAUGGGAUCUGAUCUGUGACCAGGAACGAUUCCAGGUGAAGAAUCCUCCCCACACUUACAUUCAGAAACUCC